AAUCUGCAAUCGGGUAGACAACUGGUGGAGAGCAGCCAAUUGGAGGGAACUUCUUCUGGAGCUCCGAAACCAGGACUAACUUCUCCUGGGAGGCUGUAAAUGUAAUUCAUUCAAAUCCCGGACCUGUACCGGACUAUCGCUAUCUGUAUUGGGAAUUACAUCACUGAUGGCUGACGAGUUCCCGUCAAGUGGCUCGACAACAGCUCUCGACUUUCUGGUCCCAGUGAGGUUCCUCAAUCAAAGGUAACUAAUUCGACAAAGGCUCUUUUCCAUCCAAUCAGGCGGAGAAAAGGAAAUGCUCCGUGCCUGCAUUCCUUUAUCGCGGAGAGAGAAAUCGGGUGACGUGUCUGUUUAUCUUUACAGCUGAAUCCGGCGGGCGAUCAACAUCGAGUUUCCUAAUAAAUACUGGGAGGAAUACGCGCAGAUUUAUUCGACCGCAAUCAUUCCGGAUUGGACAAAGGAGAGGAGAGGAGACCCAAUUCAAAGGGGAGUACCCAAACCACUCGAUGCUCACCCAUACUCGUGUACGAGUAGAGAGAGAUGAAUUAGUCAACUAUUUCCUCAUUGAUAUUGUUCAUUCCUAUCCCUUUGUGAGUGCAGCUUAGCCCCUUACCCCUAACAAAUUAUACGCCAUUUGACGUAUAGUCCCUCAUGCACAAACUAUUAUGGUGUCCGCAAUUAAUCCCACAAACACACACACACACCCCACUCUCCCCCCACCCCCACCAUUGAUAUUCAUUGCACAUAUCAGAUAUAUAUAUAUAUAUAUAUGUAAAAUAAAUUUACUUGCCUCUCUACUUGGGUUCCACACCUGCAUUGACUGUUUUAUGACAUUAUAACUCAUUGGUGCAUCUGACUGAUUCUCGAGAAUGGUGGUAUGUGUACUAAAGCAGGCCUCAGAUACCUAGUCCUGCUAGUCUA